UCCCCAAACACUAAAAUAGCACAUGGCAUAGUAAUUCAGCACACAGCAUAAACUGAUAUAUGCAAUCGAUAAUCCCGAAAAUGUUUAAGUUUCACUUUGGGAGUCUUUAAAAACUUAUGUCCUUAAAUGACCUUUAUUAAAGUUAUCAACAGACGACAACAGGAGUCACCUUGAAAAAUUUUAGGGUACAGGAUACUGCAAUUCUUAGAAUCUGGGAAACUUUUUAUGUGGGAAAUAACUCGAUUUGCUUCUCUGUAACUGAGCUACUUUUUUCUCGAGCUCAUUUUUGUUUAAGGUAACACUGCUAGGGUUCUGAGUUUGAGAAGGGAUCUUCUAAAGGUAAACUUAAUAUUGAUGGAGUGCAGGCAAGCGGGUUCCAACUCAGAGCCCAGACCCUUGGGAAAAGCACUUGGUGGGUCAUCCUGAAAACUUCCCAUUUCCGGCACUUUUUGAUGGCGUGGCAGUCGUGACACCCGAGGCUCUCCUUUGGGGCACUGUCCUCUGUGGCCGUCAGUGGCCCUGGGCCCUCCUCCCAGCCAGUCUCGCCGCCCCAGAGCUUCAACACCACUGCAGGACACCCGAGCAAAACACUCUGUUGGAGCAGGGAACAAACCCACGGCUGUGCUCGGAGUGGCUGCUGAGGCUGGAUUUCUUCUUACUGAUUCUCUCACAUAUGGAAGCACUGGGCCGCCACUGUGAAGCCAGAGGCCAGCCCCGCUCGGAUCCUUUCUCAUUUCCAGUGAUAAUGCCUCACUUUGUGAAUUUCCAUCAACCACAGGCUUAUUCAUCCAGGAGGGUGCAUCUGCAGGCCAAGGGCCCUCCGGCAUUCUUUUCUUAAGGCUGCAUGAUAGUUUGUCCGAGUCACCUCCUCCGGCCUGCUGCACUUGUGCCAGGCAGGUGCCGAGGGGCCCUCUUCUGUCCCUCAUGCUUCGUGUUCUUGGAUGCGGUGGGCCUGAGGUCACGCCUUCGUCAGUCUGGGAGGGCCUUCAAUGGAUCUCAAUAUGAACCUAGG
rnacentral:lncRNA from 1 species